AUACAUUGUAUGUAACCCUAAUUUAUGUGGAAUGAAAAAAACCCUUUUCUCCCCUAACCUCUCCCUCUCUCUCUGGUCUUCACAUGCUGCCCAAGGAGGCAGCCAAAGGGGCUUCACGCUAGGAGGAAGGGGGGUGCCUCCCUCAAACCCUAGCGCUUAGGGUUUUGGAGGGGGUGCCCCAUCAUGUGGGUGCCUCUUUUGUGUCGCCGCCCA
rnacentral:lncRNA from 1 species